rnacentral:rRNA from 1 species
GACGAACGCUGGCGGCGUGCUUAACACAUGCAAGUCGAACGGAAAGGCCCUGCUUUUGUGGGGUGCUCGAGUGGCGAACGGGUGAGUAUCACGUGAGUAACCUGCCCUUGACUUUGGGAUAACUUCAGGAAACUGGGGCUAAUACCGGAUAGGAGCUCCUGCUGCAUGGUGGGGGUUGGAAAGUUUCGGCGGUUGGGGAUGGACUCGCGGCUUAUCAGCUUGUUGGUGGGGUAGUGGCUUACCAAGGCUUUGACGGGUAGCCGGCCUGAGAGGGUGACCGGCCACAUUGGGACUGAGAUACGGCCCAGACUCCUACGGGAGGCAGCAGUGGGGAAUAUUGCACAAUGGGCGGAAGCCUGAUGCAGCAACGCCGCGUGCGGGAUGACGGCCUUCGGGUUGUAAACCGCUUUCGCCUGUGACGAAGCGUGAGUGACGGUAAUGGGUAAAGAAGCACCGGCUAACUACGUGCCAGCAGCCGCGGUGAUACGUAGGGUGCGAGCGUUGUCCGGAUUUAUUGGGCGUAAAGGGCUCGUAGGUGGUUGAUCGCGUCGGAAGUGUAAUCUUGGGGCUUAACCCUGAGCGUGCUUUCGAUACGGGUUGACUUGAGGAAGGUAGGGGAGAAUGGAAUUCCUGGUGGAGCGGUGGAAUGCGCAGAUACCAGGAGGAACACCAGUGGCGAAGGCGGUUCUCUGGGCCUUUCCUGACGCUGAGGAGCGAAAGCGUGGGGAGCGAACAGGCUUAGAUACCCUGGUAGUCCACGCUGUAAACGGUGGGUACUAGGUGUGGGGUCCAUUCCACGGGUUCCGUGCCGUAGCUAACGCUUUAAGUACCCCGCCUGGGGAGUACGGCCGCAAGGCUAAAACUCAAAGGAAUUGACGGGGCCCCGCACAAGCGGCGGAGCAUGCGGAUUAAUUCGAUGCAACGCGUAGAACCUUACCUGGGUUUGGCAUGGAUCGGGAGCGCUCAGAGAUGGGUGUGCCUCUUUUGGGGUCGGUUCACAGGUGGUGCAUGGCUGUCGUCAGCUCGUGUCGUGAGAUGUUGGGUUAAGUCCCGCAACGAGCGCAACCCUUGUUCACUGUUGCCAGCACGUUAUGGUGGGGACUCAGUGGAGACCGCCGGGGUCAACUCGGAGGAAGGUGGGGAUGACGUCAAGUCAUCAUGCCCCUUAUGUCCAGGGCUUCACGCAUGCUACAAUGGCUGGUACAGAGAGUGGCGAGCCUGUGAGGGUGAGCGAAUCUCGGAAAGCCGGUCUCAGUUCGGAUUGGGGUCUGCAACUCGACCUCAUGAAGUCGGAGUCGCUAGUAAUCGCAGAUCAGCAACGCUGCGGUGAAUACGUUCCCGGGGCU